GCGCAAGAAAGCCCUUAAAAAUUCCCAGCGUCUUCAAGUUUUUCCUUCUUUGUGCAUCUCCAACUUCAACUGCACCGCAGAAAGAAGGAAUGGCUAAAAAAUCUUGCCUCGUGGGAAAGUACUGAGAAACACGUAGGAAAUGCCUGCACAGCCGUUGAAGAAUAGUCUGCUUAUUUUACUGGUUUCGUGUAGAUCUCUCUCAUUGCAAAAUGAAAGUUCAUGUCCUUUUCCCAUCAGACGUAAGUUACUUGGAAUGCAGGGUUGGGGUUUGGGACUGCUAUUGGAGCUCAACCAAAGAUUAGUAAGCUUUGUGUUGAUAGACAAAAGUCGCGGCGGCAUCGGCUAUUUUCUUCAAGAGCAACUGAAGUGCACUGGAAUUUUUCAAGUGAGGGUAAAAUCUUUCUCAGUGUGGCCUCUGCGAGUAAAUUUAUAGUCUCGGAGGAGAGAGUUUUUUUGGGGGUAUGUCGACAUGUUGUAGGUUUUUUCCGUUCCAAUCGACGAAAUGGAUGCCGUGUCAUGAGUUUUUGAGGUCUCUGGGCUUGGCGUGUUCAGGGCCGGAGAGUACUGAAGUUCGUCCCCGUAGAGGCCAGAGUGAAUGGUUCAGUACGGACGUCUGGAAGGCGGUGGUUGUAGCCAUUUUAAUCUCAACUGUAUUAAGGGGAGUACUUGCGGAGCCGAGGUUCAUACCAUCGUGGUCCAUGUAUCCAACUUUGGAGGUCGGAGAUCGCAUAAUUGUCGAGAAGGUUUCUUAUUAUUUCAGAAGACCAGAUGUGCAUGAUGUUGUAAUUUUCCGAGCACCAAAGUCUCUGCAGCAGGAAAUAGGAUCCGGUGAAGAGGAGGUUUUUAUCAAAAGAAUAGUUGCCAAGGCUGGAGACUUGGUGGAGGUCUACCAUGGGAAGCUUAUUGUAAAUGGAAUUGCUCAAUCUGAAGACUUUGUAGCAGAGCCAGCUGCAUAUGAUAUGAGUACUACUCAUGUGCCUGAUGGCUGUGUUUUUGUAAUGGGCGAUAACCGCAACAACAGUUGCGACUCUCAUGUUUGGGGACCUCUUCCUGUCAAGAACAUUCUAGGAAGAUAUGUAAUGUGUUAUCUGCGACCAUCACAAUUGGGAUCUAACAUAUAUAGACAUGGUUAGAAAUUUAGAGGCAUGAGAUUUGCAAGGAUGUUCCAAGGCGAGAGCUCUUAUAACAGCAGGGCCCUCUUUCUGUUGAGAAAAUUGUUGGAUAUGUCAUGCAUCAUAUGUGACCUUCAAAUAUUGGCAGGGACACUGGUGGAUAGAAAACCAGAGGUUGGGAGUAUGUAUUGUCAUUGGAUUAUCAAUUCUGAAGUGGGGUAAAGCUUCUUUCAGGGAAAUGCUAAUUGUUGUAAAAUGAGCAACUGCAGACUCACUUCUCAGCACACAUAAUUUUGUUGUGGUGGAUGGAACUGUUGGUUUUGAAGCUGUAGAUGCCACUGAAGUCUAAAGGGAAUGAUAACAAUAUUUGACAGAGAUUGUUUUAGUCCAUUGUGAUGCUAGUAGAUGAUUCAUAAUUAGAUUUAAGUAAGAAAAAAAUUUCAUUCAUCAUAGAAAUGACACAAAUGUUAUUAAUUUUAUUGAUGACAAAGUGUCAUAUCUUACAGACUUCAUGAUCUAGAUCUAGGUUCGGGUUCAAAAUUUCUUUGAUAGUCUUUGAAGAGAAGGAUUUGAAUUUCCGUUUUUAA